GCAUUGGUGGUGCAGCGUUAGAAUUCUUGUCUUCCAUGCAGGAGACCUGGGUUCAGUCCUUGGCCAAUGCA
rnacentral:tRNA from 1 species